rnacentral:rRNA from 1 species
CGUAGGGUGCGAGCGUUGUCCGGAAUUAUUGGGCGUAAAGAGCUUGUAGGCGGUUUGUCGCGUCUGCUGUGAAAACCUGGGGCUUAACUCUGGGCGUGCAGUGGGUACGGGCAGGCUUGAGUGUGGUAGGGGAGACUGGAAUUCCUGGUGUAGCGGUGAAAUGCGCAGAUAUCAGGAGGAACACCGAUGGCGAAGGCAGGUCUCUGGGCCAUUACUGACGCUGAGAAGCGAAAGCAUGGGGAGCGAACAGGAUU